UACAAACUGUGGUCUGAAUAGACAGCUCACCAGCUGGAAUAAUUAAAUUCUAUUGGGUCAAGAAUCCUGUUACGUCCUCAGCACCAUUUUUUCGAGAAAAAUCGAUGGUCCAGUUUCAAGCAUGCAGCACAAUUAUUGACUGCAGCACUCCUCACUUCCAAACCAUCAGGAGUGGUGCUUUCAAGAACAAAAACAAAAUUGCUGGAAGGCUCAACAGGUCGGGUAGCAUCUGCGAAGGGAAAAAAAGUCAACGUUUCAGGUCCGGUGA